AGGGUGCAAGCGUUAUCCGGAUUCACUGGGUUUACAGGGUGCGUAGGAGGGCAGGUAAGUCAGUGGUGAAAUCUCCAAGCUUAACUUGGAAACUGCCGUUGAUACUAUCUGUCUUGAAUAUUGUGGAGGUGAGCGGAAUAUGUCAUGUAGCGGUGAAAUGCUUAGAUAUGACAUAGAACACCAAUUGCGAAGGCAGCUUACUACCCGAAUAUUGACACUGAGGCACGAAAGCGUGGGGAUCAAACAGG
rnacentral:rRNA from 1 species